AUCAGGACAGGUCAGGACAUACGCAGGGACGCAGGGGACGCCGGGGAGAGGAUUUGGGUGGGCCGAGCAGCCCGGCUGGACCGAGGUUCUCCCAAGUUCUGUUUUGUCCGUGGUCUCGGCGGCGAGGCUCAGGUGACCCUGCGCACGUGAUUAUCCUGCCCGAGCCUCCGCUUCUCUCUAAGUUCAAGGAGAAGUGGGACUGGAUGCCACCCUGCCGCCUUGUUUCCGGGGACAUUUCGGUGCUCGUCCUUGACGCUGCAGGCGUCCCCGAUCCCAAUUCUGCAGCUGACUCUGGCAGCACCUGCUCCUGCUAGGUCCCCGGGGACGUCUGGGAGCUGAGUCUCCCCCGGGAGAGGACGCAGCACCCCGUGCUUUCCCAGCCCAACACCUCCACGCCUGCGGGUGCGGGACACUCGCCCCUACCCCGUGAGCCCCCAUCACCUCCGCCCACCGUGGGAACCAGGCUCAAGCCUGUGUGACAGGAGCUGGGGCCCAACAGGCCACUGUGACUCAGCUCCUGGGUGAAAAGGAGGUGAUGUCUGGAGGUCCCGGCUGAGCUGCUGGCAGCAGGCAGGUGAGGUCGGAACACCUGUUACCUGGUGCCCCUGGAAAAGGGUCUGUGACGAUCAGGCUGCAGGGUGAGUGUGGCCAGACAUGGAUGGGGCCUGAGCCCGCCCGCCCUGGACUCCCGGCUCGUGUGCGCCGUGUGAGAAACGUGAGCCUACGGACGCCACUCUCACUCAAAAUGGCAACCCAAGAAUCCAACAGAGAACUGCGAGGCCCUAGGAUGGUGGAGUCACCAGAGGGAAGGGCCCUGGACCCGUGGAUGUCUGCGUGGAGCAGGGCGCCCUGCAGCCCACCCCGCCCACCCACAGUGGACGCAGCGUGGUCCAGAGAAGGACACGUGAUCCUAGUGGCAUCAUGAUCAUCGUCACCCUUUUUCAUUUUUAAAUAUAAACGUUUAUUUCUUUAACUAGAAAAAGUGAUGCAUUGAAAUGAAAUACUUAGACUUUUGUGAAAAGGUUAGAUUUUUGCACUGAGGUGCUCUGGGAUAAUUGGUGAAUACAUUGAGAGGAAAAAAAACUUGCGACCUUACUUCUCUCUAAACACCAAAAUUAACUCCAGUUAUGUCAGAAUUAAGGAUGAAUAUGAAGAUCUACAAUAGCACCUUCGGCAAAACCUGCCGACGUGUCUGCGUGUGUCUGCCUGGGCUCUAUUCUGUCCCCGCUCCUUGAGAGCAUAUCAUAUCACGUUAAUAACUGCAGUUUUAUAUUAAAUAAGGUAGUGUGUACCUUCCAAAUUUAUUCUUUUUCAAAAUGGUGUUGGCUAUACUAGACUUUUACAUUUCUGCACGGAUUUUUUGGUGUCAACCUGUCAAUUUCUGUUAAAAAAAAUCCCUGACACUUUGAUUGGGAUUCCUUUCAAUUUAUAGAUCAAUUAUGGAGAGUUUUCAUCUCAAUGUGUUGGCUAAUUUUUCCUGAUACAUCAUCAUUACAGAAUUUAAUUCUGUUUUCCUGAGAUAAAUGCUCUGAGUGAUUGGAUUCUGUUGACAUUUAUUGUGAGUUGUUUAGUGACCCCGCACAGGGCCUGUUUCGGCAAACGGAUCGUGUGCACAUGAAAAGAGAGUGUGUUUUGCAGGCGUUGGGCGUACGUUCUAUAAAUAUCCACAAGGCUGAGGUAGUGAAUGGUGCUGUUUGAUUGGUGACCUCUUCUCUGUUUGUGUUGGUCCUGUUCCUCUGUCGGUUGCAGAGGUGGGUGAUACAGUCUCCAGCUAUUAUUAGGGAGCUGUCUAGUUUUCCCUUUCAUUCUGUCAAGUUUUGCUUCAUUUAUUUUGAAACUCGAUCGUUAGAUGCAUGCACAUUAAGUUUUGGCCUGUGUUUUGCAAGGUCCUGAUGACUUUUUCCAAUGUUCCCUGUGAGAUGGCCUCCUUUCUCACUGAAAUGCGCCCCCCACCCCCCUUGUAAAGUUUGCUGCGUGGGACCUCAGCGUAGCUGCACGGUGAGGCUUGCUUGCCUGUUGUACCCCCUCCAUCCCUUACCUUCCGUCCUAUCUAUGUCUUCCCACUUAACACGUCCCUCUUGUAGACAGCGUGCAGCUGAGCCUUAAGUUUAUUUUUUAAAAUCUAGCCUGACAAACUUUGAUUUGUGAUGGCAGCACGUGCUCCAUUUGUAUUGAAUGUAAUUACAGAUACGUUUGGGGUGGGGCACCGUGUUACUCUCUCCUGUCCACCAUUCCCUCUGUUCUCCUGUUUUAUUUAGUUUAGUCAAGGAUUUUCAGCAUUCCAUUCUACGCCCUCGAUUGGCUCUUUGCCGAUGCCACCCUUUCUGUUUGUUUCUUUUAGUGCUUGCUUUAGCGAUUGCAACACUUCCUUCAUUUAUCAUAGUUUAUCUUGAAUUAAAAGUAUGCGGGAGCUUUCUAUUCAUCCUGCCUGCCUAUUGUAUUCUUGUUGUUACAUACUUUACUUGUAUAUAUGGUGUAAACAUCAAAAUAGAUCAUUAUGUUGGCUUUAAAUGUUCAUUUCUUUAAAGUAUUUAUGAAAAGAAAAAUACUAUUUUAUAUUCAUUCAGUUAAAUGUGGGUGUCACUUUGAGUUUCCUUCUUUUGUCCAACAUCGAAUGUGUCCAAUUUCUGCCUGCUUUGAGUUGUAUUCCCCAGUGUCUGGAAAUGGUAGUUUUUAUAAUUAUCUUGAUAGUUGUCUUUACAAUUGAUCUAGAGUUUAUAAUUUUAUUGAUGGGAAGAUUAGUUCAGCAUAAGCUGCUUCACCAUUACCAGAAGCCAGACGUCAUAUAAACUGUUCUAGUACGAAUUGCCUGAAAAUAUCUGUAUAUUUUUGUGUGGGUCUUUUAACUGCCAUGUAUAUUAACAUUUCUGUGUCUGAGGGUACGUUCACCAGCUUGAAUAACUUAGCCUCAGCCUUUUGUAUAACAGCUGUAUGGAGGUGUAAUGCACAUGACAAAGAAUGUACCCUUUUAAAAUAUACGAUUCAGUGGAUUCUAGUACAUCCACAGGGUUGUGCGGCCAUUCCAGCUCUCUACUGCAGAGCACUUCCACCACCUCGGGAAGAACCCUGUGUUCAUUACCCGCGUCUCUCUCUGCCUUUGCUCCGACCCCAGCGCCUGGCAAUCACUAACCUGCCGUCUGUUCAGGUUUGUAUAAUCUGGACAUUUCCUGCACGUGGUGUCAUAUGACACUGUCUUCGUUCACUUCGUGCGCUGUGUCCAAGGCCCAUCCGUGUUGGGGUGUGUAGUAUCAGUGCUUCAUUGCUUUGCAAGCCCAGCGAGAGCCCACUGUGUGGCUGUGCUUUGGUCAAUCCGCUGCCAUUGGUGACUGCAGUCCUGUGGUCACCACUUCAGCGUCUCUCCAGGUCAGCUUUCAGGUGUGAUAAAACUGUCACUUUGGUUCCAGCCCUCAGAAUCCUGAAUCUCUCUCUAAUUUGAAUCACGACAAGGGUGGGGAAAACUGGGGUGCGUUUGGCAGGACCCUCCUCCCCAACAGGGAGUAAUGGUGGCCAAUAACAGCACGGAUCAAAUCUGAAAGGUGGGUUCUUGGGCUCGUGUUCUGUUAUUCACAGUAAUUUUCUGUAUGAUAGAACCAUUUUUACCGAAAAUAUUUUAGGGGACUUGAGUGGAAAAAAAAACAAAAAACCUUACAAGGACAUUAAGAAAGGUCCCACUUAAUUGUGUUAAUAUAAUUUUAAAAUUCUGGCCAUGGGUUUGUAGCUUCCUGAAUGGAGAGACCGUGGUAAACGUCCCCCAUGAUUCGGCUGGCUUCCUCCCAGUGGGAAUCAAAGCUAAGGUCAUAUCAACAUGCUUGAGGCCUGGGUGGUAAGUAUCCUUUAUCCAAGUAUGUGUCACAAAACUGAGAUAAUUUGGUGCUGACCAACACAGCCCAGGAAGGAGAAGAUAUUGAUCUGUAGAGCUGUCAAUAUUUUCUCCCUACGAAGGAGAAGGACCUGAGCUGAGUGUAAAUAAACCCUCAUGCUUCCCAAGGAGCCGCUGGGAGGUGGGUGCCCUGCGUCUGGCCCCUGCUUGCUGAGGGAGGCCGUGCUCCGAGCUGCGCAGGGCGAGCAGGAGUGUGGGGACACCGGUGCCCGGCACCUUUACUCCCUGCCCAGGACCACACAGAAAUAGCUCUGUUUUCGUUCUUCUUGACCCACAGUGGAAUUAGCUAUGUUCUUGUUGUUAGAGUUUCUAGAGGGAAAGCCAUUCCUGAAAAUUAAUUUAUCAGUGUAUCCCUAAUACUAACGAUGUAUACAUGCAGUUUGCAUCAUUUUAUUCCAAGAAUAUCUUUUCUCAUUUUCAUUUGCUUUUGUAGAUGUUAAGAAGUGAGAGUUCAGCUUUAUUUUAUCCUGCCUGGAUGAUAAACCAUCAUUUUCACGCUGGGUUAAAAGACGUCUUGGUUUUAUAUUAAAUUCCUCAAUAUAUUGUAUGCUAUUUCUGAAUCCUGUUCUAGUCCGCUCAUCUCUCUCUGUGUCUAUUUUUAUGCCAUUUCAGGUUUUUAAUAAUGACAGCGGCUUUGUAGCAGGCGUCUGGUACACGGAGCGCGUUCUCAUUAUUUUUGGUCAUGCAUUCUCUUAACUACCUCUGGACAUCUCUUGUGCCUUGUACUCUUUGUGAUUGUUGUAGUCUAUUUUUUAUU